rnacentral:rRNA from 1 species
CCUGUUUAACAAAAACAUGUCUUUUUGAGUUAUUUUAAAAGUCUGACCUGCCCACUGAAAUUAUUUAAAUGGCCGCAGUAUUCUAACUGUGCAAAGGUAGCAUAAUCAUUAGUCUUUUAAUUGAAGGCUGGUAUGAACGGUUGGACGAGGUAUAAGCUGUUUCAUAUAAAUUUAUAAUAGAAUUUUAUAUUUUAGUCAAAAAGCUAAAAUUUAAUUAAAAGACGAGAAGACCCUAUAAAUCUUUAUAUUCUAAGUUGUUUAAAUUUUUUAGAUUAAUUUUAUUUUUAUAAUUUAGAGUAUUUUGUUGGGGUGAUAUUAAAAUUUAAUGAACUUUUAGUUGUUAAAAUCAUUAAUUUAUGAGUUAUUGAUCCAUUAAUAGUGAUUAUAAGAUUAAGUUACUUUAGGGAUAACAGCGUAAUUUUUUUGGAGAGUUCAUAUCGAUAAAAAAGUUUGCGACCUCGAUGUUGGAUUAAGAUAUAUUUUUAGGUGUAGCCGCUUAAAU